UACGGAGGGUGCAAGCGUUAUCCGGAUUUACUGGGGUUAAAGGGUGCGUAGGCGGGCCAUUAAGUCAGUGGUGAAAGCUCCGAGCUUAACUCGGAAACUGCCAUUGAUACUAUUGGUCUUGAAUUCGGUCGAGGUUGGCGGAAUGUGUCGUGUAGCGGUGAAAUGCUUAGAUAUGACACAGAACACCGAUUGCGAAGGCAGCUAGCUAGACCGACAUUGACGCUGAGGCACGAAAGCGUGGGGAUCAAACAGG
rnacentral:rRNA from 1 species